GGAGAGAUGCCCGAGAGGCCGAAGGGGACGGUUUGCUAAACCGUUGUACCAAUUACGGUACCGAGGGUUCGAAUCCCUCUCUCUCCG
rnacentral:tRNA from 1 species